rnacentral:rRNA from 1 species
GAGUUUAAGCAUAUCAUUAAGCCGAGGAAAAGAAACUUACCAGGAUUCCCCUAGUAAUGGCGAGCGAAUAGGGAAAAGCCUAGCUUCAGAAUCGAGCACCAUCGGUAUCUGAAUUGUAGUCUGUAGAACCAUCCUCAGCUAGGGACCAGCCCAAGUCCUUUAUAAAGGGGCACCGGAGAGGGUGAGAGCCCCGUCGUGCUCAGACCUUGUCACACCACGAGGCGCUGUCUACGAGUCGGAUUGUUUGGGAAUGUAGCCCUGAUUAGGCAGUAAAUUCCGUCCAAGGCUAAAUACGGGUGAGAGACUGAUAGCGAACAAGUACAGCGAAAGAAAGAUAAAAAGGACUUUGGAAAGAAAGUCAAAGGGUGCUUGAAAUUGUCGGGAGGGAAGCAGAUGGGGGUUGGCAAUGAGCCCCGAGAGGAUGUGGAACAGCGAGAGACGGUCCACCAAUCGGCUCAGGGUGUGGACCAACACUGGUCGUGGUGACGGCCUAUGCCCGGGACUUUGAUACGCCCAUGUAGACAUCGUAGCCUCAAUCGUGAGAUCCAGCACCUGACGUCUUAAUGUGGUUCGGCACCUGUAUGCUCUGGGCGUCGGCUUGUGGGCUCCCCAUUCGACUCGUCUUGGAACACGGGCCAAGGAGUCUGACAUGUGUGUGAGUCAACGGGUUAAAAAACCUUAAGGUGAAAUGAAGCUGAUUCGCGGGAUCCCUCACGGGUGCACCGCAGACCGGCCUUGAUCUUCUGAAAAGGGUUCGAGUGAGAGCAUGCCUCUUAAGACUCGAAAGAUGGUGAACUAUGCCUGAGCAGGGCAAAGCUUGUUGAAACUCUAGUGGAGGCCCGCAGCGAUACUGCCGUGCAAAUUGUUCGUCUGACUUGGGUAUAGGGGCAAGAGACUAAUCAAACCAUCUAGUAGCUAGUUCCCUCCGAAUUUUCCCUCAGGAUAGCUAGAGCCCUUUGCGAGUUCUGUCAGGUAAAGCCAAGGAUUAGAGGCAUCGGGGGCGCAACACCCUCGACCUAUUCUCAAACUGUAAAUAGGUAAGAUGGUGCGGCUACUUCAUUGAGCCGCGCCAUGGAAUCGAGAGCUCCAAGUGGGCCAUUUUUGGUAAGCAAAAAUGAUGAUGCAGGAUGAACCGAAAGCUAGGUUACGGUGCCUAAGUAUGCGCUGACCUAUAACCCACAAAGGCUGUUAGUCGAUAAAAACAGCAAGACAAUGGUCAUGGAAGUCGACAUUCGCUAAGGAGUGUGUAACAACUCACCUGUCGAAUCAACUAGCCUCAAAAAUAGAUAGAGCUUAUACGUGCGACCUAUACCCAGUCGUCGGGGUAAGGGCCAGGCACCGAUGAAUAGGAGGGUGAGGUGGUCACUGCAAAACCCUGGGCACGAGCCCGAGUGAAGUGGCCAUCGGUGUAGAUCUUGGUGGUAGUAGCAAAUAUUCAAAUGAGAAAUUUGAAGGCCAAAAAGGGGGAAAGGUUCCAUGUGAACGGCACUUACGCAUGGGUUAGUCGAUCCUAAGAGACGAGGGAAGCCCGUCUGAUAGUGCGCCUAACGCGAGUUUCGAAAGAGAAUCGGGUUAAAAUUCCAAAACUGGGAUGCAGAAGCUAACAGUAAUGUUAGGGACUCUGAAAAUGUCAGCAAGGGCCUCAAAAAGAGUUAUCUUUUCUGUUUAACGACCUGCCCACUCUAGAAAGGGCUCAGCUGGAGGUAAGGUCCAGCGGCCAGAAGAGCACCGCAUAUCGUGUGGUGUCCGAUGCGGCCCUGACAACCCUUGAAAAUCUAGAGGAAUGAGUGCCGAUCGUACUCAUAAUAGCAUCAGGUCUCCAAGGUGAACAGCCUCUGGUCAAUGGAACAAUAUAGGCAAAGGAAGUCGGCAAAAUGGAUCUGUAAUCUCGGGAAAAGGAUUGGCUCUCAGAGUUGAGCAUGGGGGUCCUAGUCCUGAACUCGUCAACUGUCGGUGUACUGCUCAAGCUACUCUCAUGGCGAGAGCGAGUCAUCAUGUGCUGGCCGGGGGACGAACUGGGAACGGCUCCCUCGGGGGCCUUCCCCGAGUGACGAACAGUUGACUCAAAAACUGGUAUAGACAUGGGGAAUCCGACUAUUUAAUAAAAACAAAGCAUUGCGAUGGUCCCUAUGGAUGCUCACGUAAUGUGAUUUCUGCCAAGUGCUCUGAAUGUCAAAGUGAAGAAAUUCAACCAAGCGUGGGUAAAUGGCGGGAGUAACUAUGACUCUCUUAAGGUAGCCAAAUGCCUCGUCAUCUAAUUAGUGAUGAAUGUGAAUGAAUUAACUAGAUUCCCACUGUCCCUGUCUAUUAUCUAGUGAAACCACAGCCAAAGGAAUGAGCUUGGUAGAAUCAUUAGGGAAAGAAGACCCUGUUGAGCUUGACUCUAGUCUGACUUUGUAAAAUGACUUGAGAGGUGUAGGAUAAGUGGGAGCUCUCGGGCGAAAUUAAAAUACCACUACUUUUAACGUUAUUUACUUAUUCCAUGAAUUAGAGGCGGGGCACGGCCCCUCUUUUUAGACCCAAGGUCGGCUUCAGCUGAACGAUCCGAGCAGAAGACAUUGUCAGGUGGGGAGUUUGGUUGGGCAGCACAUCUGUUAAAAGAUAAUACUGGCGUCCUAAGAUGAGCUCAACAAGAACAGAAAUCUCAUGCAGAACAAAAGGGUAAAAGCUCGUUUAAUUCUGAUUUCCAGUACGAAUAUUAACAGUGAAAGCAUGGCCUAUUGAUCCUUUAAACCUUCAGAAUUUGAAGUUAGGGGUGUCAGAAAAGUUACCACAGGGAUAAUUGGCUUGUGGAAGCCAAACAUUCAUAGCGAUGUUGCAUUUUGAUCCUUUGAUGUCGGCUCUUCCUAUCAUUGUGAAGCAGAAUUCACCAACUGUUGGAUUGUUCACCCACUAAUAGGGAAUGGGAGCUGGGUUUAGACCAUCGUGAACAGGUCAUUUUUUCCCUACUAAUGUCACAUCGCAAAAUUAAUUCAACCUAGUAAGAGAUGAACCAUUGAUUCGCACAAUUGGUCAUCGCGCUUGGUUGAAAAGCUAGUGGCACGAAGCUACCGUGCGCUUGAUUAUGAUUGAACGUUUCUAAGUCAGAAUCCAGACUAGAAGUGACACACGCACCCGUCACCUGAUUGCCAACCCACAGUAGGGGCCUCUGUCCCCUAAGGGCACAUGUCGUAAGUGUAGUGACUGCAGCGGACAAGUUGUGGGCGCCUCCUUGAAACGUAAUUCCCACCGGA